rnacentral:rRNA from 1 species
GGCUGAACGAGAAAGCCUCUGUCUCAAGUUAUAAGCAUUUGAAUUUCAUUUAGACGUGCAAAAGCGUCUCUUAUUUUAAAAGACGAUCAGACCCUAUGGAGCUUUUAAAAGUUAACAUUAAGUAAAGUAACUAAAUACACACUUAAAGAAGCAUUUUUUGUUGGGGCGACAGGGAGAAUUUAAAAUAACACUCUUUUAAUCAAAUAUAUCUGAAUAAAAAGAUGAUCCUACAAAGUUAGAUUAAAAGACUAAGUUACCCUAGGGAUAACAGCGUCAUUUCUUUAGAGAGCCCAAAUCGAUAAAGAAGUUUGCGACCUCGAUGUUGGAUCAAAGUUCCUAUAAGGUGAAGCCGCUUUAUUAGGGGGUCUGUUCGACCUUUAAAUCUUUACGUGAUCUGAGU